GAAAUGCGAUAAGUAAUGUGAAUUGCAGAAUUCAGUGAAUCAUCGAAUCUUUGAACGCACAUUGCGCCCGCCAGUAUUCUGGCGGGCAUGCCUGUCCGAGCGUCAUUUCAACCAUCAAGCCCCCGGGCUUGUGUUGGGGACCUGCGGCUGCCCGCAGGCCCUGAAAACCAGUGGCGGGCUCGCUGUCACACCGAGCGUAGUAGCAAUCACCUCGCUCAGGGCGUGCUGCGGGUUCCGGCCGUUAAACAGCCUUACAAAACCCAAGGUUGACCUCGGAUCAGGUUGGAAGACCCGCUGAACUUAAGC
rnacentral:misc_RNA from 1 species